rnacentral:rRNA from 1 species
AUUGAACGCUGGCGGCAUGCUUUACACAUGCAAGUCGAACGGUAACAGGCCGCAAGGUGCUGACGAGUGGCGAACGGGUGAGUAAUGCAUCGGAACGUGCCCAGUCGUGGGGGAUAACGCAGCGAAAGCUGCGCUAAUACCGCAUACGAUCUCUGGAUGAAAGCGGGGGACCGAAAGGCCUCGCGCGAUUGGAGCGGCCGAUGUCAGAUUAGGUAGUUGGUGGGGUAAAGGCCCACCAAGCCAACGAUCUGUAGCUGGUCUGAGAGGACGACCAGCCACACUGGGACUGAGACACGGCCCAGACUCCUACGGGGGGCAGCAGUGGGGAAUUUUGGACAAUGGGCGCAAGCCUGAUCCAGCAAUGCCGCGUGCAGGAAGAAGGCCUUCGGGUUGUAAACUGCUUUUGUACGGAACGAAACGGUCUGGGUUAAUACCCUGGGCUAAUGACGGUACCGUAAGAAUAAGCACCGGCUAACUACGUGCCAGCCGCCGCCGUAACAC